ACCGAUGUCACCGAGCAUACUGCGCAUGCGCAAGCUCGACGACGACUGACCGGCCGCCAUCUUAGUUGUAGUUCUCGGAGCGCUUGUGCCGCUGCGGUUUGCAGGACUCUCCGAUCAACUUGCGCCGUGUGAAGAAAAUCGACUUCGAUCAACAUCGCAUGUGCUUGACAUUACUACUCAGACCUUCUAGGCCUGUAUAUCGUGAUCAUGGCAUGUAGACCUAUAACCGACAACCAGGAAAAGUGGACCAGUCAGACAAAGUCACUGAACCCAUUCUUUGGAAAAGAACACAUCUAUAGGUACAUAGAAAGCAAAGGUGCUCAAAAACAUCGAGAUGCUGGGAUACGCCUCUUCACUUCAGGACAUUUGCAGAAGCU
rnacentral:lncRNA from 1 species